GCCCGGCUAGCUCAGUCGGUAGAGUGUAAGACUCGUAAUCUCAGGGUUAUGGGUUUGAGCGCCACGUUGGGCA